ensembl:lncRNA
UCUCGAUGUUUUCACUUCCUCAAGGAGCUCUGAAAUGGCGCUGCUCGUCCUCCUGUUCUUCUUCCAUCUGAUUCUGGACAUUAACUCUCAAUAUGUUCCUCUCCCAGCUCCAGUCACAGUGCUGAAUCAGAAACCGAGACUAAGCCUCAGUCAUGAUGGUCAGUUUGAUGUAUUCAGAUUUGUGUGUGAAAUAUCAGGGUCAGAGUCAGUAACUGCUGAUUUUAGCUGUAAUCUCUACACUGGAGAAAAUCCUCAGUUUUUCCUAAACCAAACAUCUCAAAAGGGAAAAUCUGUGAAGGUUUGUAGAUUUAAAGCACAGAGAGAUGCUGUGUUUAAUCGUCUGCAGUCAGUAAAGAGUCGUGAAGUGAGCUGUGAUUAUUCACUGAUCUCUGACCCGACUGCUCGCUCUCUAAUGAGUGAUAAAUACAACAUGAUGCGUUUCUUUCCUACACCAACACAGCCGUCCAUCACUACUGAGAAAUCCACUGCAUAUGUUCCUCAGCCCCGUCUGUCCGUGUCUCCUGAAGUUCUCACAGAGAGAGGAUCAGUGCAGAUUCACUGUCAUGUUCCAGACAAUGUUAAAGUGUCUCGGUGUCAGUUCUACCCAGAGAGAGACAACACAAAUCUAAAACUCUCUCCAUCAUGUCAGCUCUCAGUCACUGGUUCUGAACUGAUCAGGUGGACAGGACGAAGUUCUCCUGGAACACUUCAUAUUACUUGUUACUACACUGUGGAUAACUCUGUUCGUACUCCUUCUCCUCACUCUCUCC